rnacentral:rRNA from 1 species
AUGCACGCUGGCGGCGUGCCUAAUCCAUGCAAGUCGAGCGAACAGACGAGGAGCUUGCUCCUUCGACGUUAGCGGCGGACGGGUGAGUAACACGUAGGUAACCUACCUAUAAGACUGGGAUAACUUCGGGAAACCGGAGCUAAUACCGGAUAAUAUUUCGAACCGCAUGGUUCGAUAGUGAAAGAUGGCUUUGCUAUCACUUAUAGAUGGACCUGCGCCGUAUUAGCUAGUUGGUAAGGUAACGGCUUACCAAGGCAACGAUACGUAGCCGACCUGAGAGGGUGAUCGGCCACACUGGAACUGAGACACGGUCCAGACUCCUACGGGAGGCAGCAGUAGGGAAUCUUCCGCAAUGGGCGAAAGCCUGACGGAGCAACGCCGCGUGAGUGAUGAAGGUCUUCGGAUCGUAAAACUCUGUUAUUAGGGAAGAACAAACGUGUAAGUAACUGUGCACGUCUUGACGGUACCUAAUCAGAAAGCCACGGCUAACUACGUG